AUGUUAUCAUAAUGACUAAGACUAGAGUACAACUAAGCUGUCAUAAGCAGAGAUGUACUAAGAUCCCCUUAAAUGAUCUUAGCACUUCAGAUUAAUUUAACCCCACGAAAGCUAAGGCACAAACUGGGAUUAGAUACCCCACUAUGCUUAGCCCUAAAUCUUGAUGCUACCCGCACUAAGCAUCCGCCUGGGAACUACGAGCACAAACGCUUAAAACUCUAAGGACUUGGCGGUGCCCUAAACCCACCUAGAGGAGCCUGUUCUAUAAUCGAUAACCCACGUUACACCCAACCGCCUCUUGCCAAAGCAGCCUAUAUACCGCCGUCGCCAGCUCACCUUCCCUGAGAGCCCAAUAGUGAGCACAAUAGCCGAACCCGCUAGUAAGACAGGUCGAGGUAUAGCUAUGGGGCGGAAGAAAUGGGCUACAUUUUCUAAAAUAGAAUACCCACGGAAGGGGGUGUGAAACCAUCUCUCGAAGGCGGAUUUAGUAGUAAAGAGGGAUAAUAUAAGCUCCCUUUAAAUCGGCCCUGGGCACGUACAUACCGCCCG
rnacentral:rRNA from 1 species